AGACUAUGAAAAAAAAAAAAAAAGAAUUAAAGACAAGUGUGAAGCCUCCUCCAGCUCCUCCUGUCGCUUGGGCAAUGCUCGUGCCACGUGUCAGAACAAACAGAGGAGACAUCUGGAACGGGUUCAUGAAAGUUCCUCUGUCUGGUUCAGCUCCUGGUCACACGGAGUUUUCCUGGCACAAACAAGUGGAAAGAGCACUUUGGCAUGGAGGGGAAAUGAGCAGCAGAGGGUGAAAGUGGCUGAAAGGAACUGCUGCUUCAGAGCUGCCUCUGCUGCAAAGGACCCGAGCAGGAGCGACUGGAGGAGGUGGGAGGAAAGGCACUACCUGCUCCUAACU